rnacentral:rRNA from 1 species
UCUAUAAUGCAGUCGAGCGAUGGAUUGAGAGCUUGCUCUCAAGAAGUUAGCGGCGGACGGGUGAGUAACACGUGGGUAACCUGCCCAUAAGACUGGGAUAACUCCGGGAAACCGGGGCUAAUACCGGAUAACAUUUUGAACUGCAUGGUUCGAAAUUGAAAGGCGGCUUCGGCUGUCACUUAUGGAUGGACCCGCGUCGCAUUAGCUAGUUGGUGAGGUAACGGCUCACCAAGGCAACGAUGCGUAGCCGACCUGAGAGGGUGAUCGGCCACACUGGGACUGAGACACGGCCCAGACUCCUACGGGAGGCAGCAGUAGGGAAUCUUUCCGCAAUGGACGAAAUUCUGACAGAGCAACGCCGCGUGAGUGAUGAAGGCUUUCGGGUCGUAAAAACUCUGUUGUAGGCAAAGUU